AUGAUCGAGGUCGGCGACUACGGGGAAAUCCUCUCGGACGACACGGUGCGCGCCUUUCAGUUGCUCGAUACUCCAGCCGCCCAGGAGCCAGAAUGCUGCACACUCUCCCAGCAUGCCCUACCUGGUGAAGAGGCCCCGUCCACAAUGCGUCUGCACGCCCAAGUUGGCGAUCAAGUCAUGCUCUUACUGGUGGACUCGGGGAGCACCCACAGUUUUGCCAGUCAGUCGUUUGCUACUCGCCUGUCUAUUUCCACGGAGGCACUGCCGCCCGUAUCAGUGCGCGUGGCCAAUGGCAGCGUUUGCGCUGCGACUCCAUGGCGAGGCAACUAG
rnacentral:rRNA from 1 species